AGCGGAGACUCGACAUUCGGCGGGACAGUGAUGUGAAUGAAGCGCUCAGCCACUUUGAUGCCAGUGUGUCUUCAGGUCUUGAGUGUCCUGCACAUACCCCUCCCUACUCUCUGUCACAUCAUGAAGAUGUUUGGUGAGUAUUCAUAUGAUUAUUCACUGACAAUAAAAAACAAAACCUAUCGAGCAGAGAGGUCCUUCUUUGUGACAUUGCGACUCCUGAUUGGAUAAAGUGUGGGACCUAAAGUCAUUUUCAGACAUGAACACCAGCAUCUUGUCAGUAGGUGAGAGCUACUUCUACUAUGUACUUCUACUACACCAAUUUAAUACAAGUGGUAUUAAAUUGUUGGGAAAACCAAAGUGCCAUUGUUGCCCAAGGUUCAUUUGUGUUACUUGAUGAAACAACAGCUAUGUGUACAGUACAUACCUUCAGAUCCCGACAUAUGUCCUGUGAAAUGAACAAAUAAAAAACCUAGUAAAUUUAGACUGAUGUGAUACAGCAAAAUAAAACAACAACUUUAUUGUUGUAGUACACAUACAGGUUCUCACCUUUCUCUAACUUGGUAUAAAUGGGGUUUGAAGUGAUGGUGGCCGAGUCGCUCACUGUAGUAUCCUGGUUGUCGUCGACGCUGCGGUGCCUCCUAGAGCUAGUGCAGUUCUGCUAAUAAACAGCGAUUGUCAUUUUAGUUGCAAGACAGAUUUUUAAAUACAAAUGAAUCGCAGUUCCCGGUUUCCCAAGUAGAGCAUUGUGUGAAUAUACACAACCCGUGAGAGCAUGGCUCACAAGAUGGAGGCAAUGUCUAGAAACGUUGUUGAUUCAAUCCUCAGCUUCUCCUUAGUUUUUAUGUGUGUGUGUAAAAGUUGGUGACACUUCAACAAAUGGAGAACUCCCUCCAGUCCUUUCCCAAGCACAUCAGGGAACUACAGUGACCUUUGCAUACCAGAAAGGAUAUAGACACUCUUUCAAAACUCUCUACUUCUGCUCCACUAUCAUAGUCUUGAGAUUCGCCUGCAACCAGGCACCGGAUCACAGUGUGGCCACUGCUUUAUUGCUUUAUUGUCUAUUUACCUCACAUUGUUCACAGAAUUGACAUCAUGUGCUAUUGAAGAAGACCUGAAACUAGCGAAAGAAACCAUUAACUCCUCAGGAAAAUGUUUACUGAGUCAUAAAUCAAGUGUUGUUUUUGCAACCAGCAGAAUGGUCAUAUUAAGUAGGGUGCUCUUGUGAUUUGUGCUUUUUCUGACCUGGACGAGGGCAGGGCAGAUGGAGUUCACACAGAGUCUGGUGGCACAGUGGACGUAGUAGGUGGAGAUGAUAUCAUCUGAGCUUUGAAUGAAGCGGAAAGCCUCAAAGGAGAAGCGGGCCUCCUGCUGGUCUCCGUUAGUCAUGACAAUUGUCUGGACGUCCCGGUGACACCUUGAAGAGGAGGAGAGAUGAUGAAAAGAUCGUGGAAGCUGGUGUCGAUGAUAAAAGACAUAACCUGCUAAAACACUACCUGUUGCUGAGGUUCGAGGCCCUCACUUCUACAAAGAUCCUGGUCUUCAGCUCUAGACCUUCUUGAGGCAUCAGCAGUGAGGAGGAGUAGCUGUUGUCCUUUACACCCAACAAGACAAAAGAGGGAAGGAUGGUUGUUUAGACUAAUGAUAUGUUCUUCAACACUAAACCAUUCAAAUAAAUAGAAAUGUUUUGGCUUCACUCUCCCUCCAGACCCAGCGGAGACAAUGUCCAAUG